rnacentral:misc_RNA from 1 species
CUGAGUUAUCACAACUCCAACCCAUGUGAAUCAUACCAAUGUUGCCUCGGCGGGGAAAAGCCCCUACCCGGGACCUACCCGGGAAGACGGUCGGACCCCGCCGGUGGAAAUUCAGACUCUUGUUUUUUAGUGGCACUUCUGAGUAUACUAUAAAAAUAAGUCA